AAUAGAACUAAUAAAAAUAAGAAGCAUCUCUUUAGUGACACUGACACAGAAUACAGAGGUGAUGACAGCAAGACAGAUAUCAGUUGGCUACGAGAGUCUAACAGAAAACCUAAACCCCAACUAAUAGACUACAGCAGAACUAAAAAUCUGAAGAAAUCUAAAAGUAUAGAAGCAACAGAUACGUUCUGUGACCCUGCAUGUCUGAUGGAUAUAUCUGAAGGGAAAAAAACAAAAAAUAAAAAGGUACCCGGUAGUAAAAAACAAAAUACAAAAGCUGAUGAGAGAAUAAAACAGACAACCAGACCAAAAUGGCCUCGAAGAGCAGCAUUAGCAAAAAAAAGUUAUAAGGAUUACUCAAAUUCAGAGUCAGAAAGUGAACAGGAAUCUUCACAGUACUUACGUCGGAAAGAAAAAUUCAGAGUACAGCAAGAGCACAAAAAUGGCCAAAACAAAGCUGUGAGUCAACACAAGGAACUACAGAACAAUGUUUCUACAGAGCCAAAAAAGGGAAUAUCAAGAAAUCAACAGCAAAUAUUUACUAAAUCAAAAGACCCUAUAAAACAAAGAAAAUUAGAAAUGUCACCAGUAGCCUCACCUGAAAGCCCAGCAUCUGUUGAGACGAUGAGAUGUGUGUAUUAUUUUGUAUUUUAA
rnacentral:lncRNA from 1 species